rnacentral:rRNA from 1 species
UACGAAGGGGGCUAGCGUUGUUCGGAUUUACUGGGCGUAAAGGGCGCGUAGGCGGUGCAAUAAGUCAGGCGUGAAAGCCCCGGGCUCAACCCGGGAAUUGCGCUUGAUACUGUUGCGCUUGAAUCCAGGAGAGGAUGGCGGAAUUCCCAGUGUAGAGGUGAAAUUCGUAGAUAUUGGGAAGAACACCAGUGGCGAAGGCGGCCAUCUGGCCUGGAAUUGACGCUGAGGCGCGAAAGCCAGGGGAGCAAACGGG